GUGGAGGGGGGGCCGCACGUGCUGCGCCUGCGCGUGGAGCGGACAUUUUGCUGCGGUCUAGCGCGGGAGGCGGGGUUUUGGGUUCGCUGGUCCAGGUGCGCGCGGUGUCCCAGGUCUUCGCGCCAGGUUGGCGCGGGAGAAGGCCGAGGUGCCCCAGAGUUCGAGGAGUUGGUGACGGUCACGCGGUGCGACGCUCCAUGGCGGAGGGGCAGUCGGAAAGUGAAUAGCACUCGUUAAAAGCGACCAGUCCGUAAGGGCGCGUGUGUCGGCGCCGUUACGGACCCCAGCGCUCGGGGUCGUUAAACCGUUUAAGUCGCGUCCCGCCCAGUGAGGGCUAUGUUAGCGUCCUCGCCGUUUCCAGCCGUGAAGGAGGCACUGAGACGACAGCUGAGGGUCUCUCCGUUAAGGCUGUCGCUGCUGUAGGGGCCCUCGCCCGCUGCGUGUUUGUGCCACCCAGCGUACUGGGUGCUUUUUCAAAAUUUUAUCAUGGACGUCUCAAAACACACGUGUGACUUAGAUGGCUCUCCACCUCCUCCCCUGAUUCAGUUUUGGUGGAACUGCUUCCCUGGCCAAAGCUCAGGGGCCAGUCAGACCCUUCUCCCCAGGACUUGGGCGCAUCACCUCCUCCUGGAAGCCUUCCCUCGGCUGGGGCAGGUGCCUCUCUUCGAUGCCUGAGUUCCAGCUGUCAAAGCACUUAUAUGCCAGUAUGUUUAUCUGCCCUCUCCUUCACCCCGCCUCAGCCUUGAAAAGUGCCUGGCACAUGGUUGGUGCUCAAUAAAUGUUGGAUGAAUGAUGCCUGUGUUGCUUAGAGCUGAAGAAGGGGCUUGAAUGUUAGAUUAAAAGAUUCCAGAAACUCUUGUGGAUGUUCCAUAGGAUGUGGCUGCAGCUUCCAGGCUCUCCAGUCUAAUUCCAGCCCAUGGCCUCUUCUUAUUGACCAGGGCGCACUUACCCAAGUUCGCCUUCCCUGAGUCCCCACUGUCCCGCACCUAUGCGUCAGGCCUUUGAUCCUGCCCAGUCCCCAGUUUUCCUGCCCUGCCUUGUGCAGAAACUUGAAUGUUAGGUUGGGGUAUUGCCUUGAAGGGGCCACAGAAAGAACAUUUACUUUAGAGAGUCACCACCAUCCUCAGACUACACCUUGUAGAUUUAGAAACCUGGACACCAUUUGGAACGAUGUUGCAGACUGUCAGUGUUUGCCUCUGAGUCUCAUUUGUGUGCAGGCAGAUUGUACAUUCUUUCUUUAGAAAUGUCAGUACCUCUCAGUCCAGUCUGACUUUGGCCUUAGGUCAUUCUGACAUGUAAGGAUAAUUAGCAGCAGAACCAGGAGUCACAGCUGGGCAGCCCAACCAGAGAGUCCUUGCUCACCACCUCCACACUCCACUCUACUAACUCACAGUGUGUUAGAAGCACACUGGGGUUCUUUUCUUGUGCUGAAGAGGUUUAGACUGUUAGAAAAAUGUAAGUAUGAGUCAGGCGCAGUGGCUCUUGCCUGUAAUCCCAGCACUUUGGGAGGCCAAGGCAGGAGGAUCAUUUGAGCCCAGGAAUUCAAGACCAGCCUGGGCAACAUAGUGAGACCCUGUCUCUAUAAAAUAAGAUAAGAAGAUAAGAUAAAAUAAAAUAAAAUAGUGUACGUAUGUUUCUAGGAUCAAAUUCUGAAAUCUGUCCUCAUUUUUCCUGCCAGGAGGAGGAGGGGGAUUAGAAUAAUUACAGAAUAUUACAGACUAUAGUUUGCAGUUUA
rnacentral:lncRNA from 1 species